rnacentral:rRNA from 1 species
UACAGAGGGUGCAAGCGUUAAUCGGAGUUACUGGGCGUAAAGGGCGCGUAGGCGGUUGAUUGGGUGUGAUGUGAAAGCCCUGGGCUUAACCUGGGAGGUACAUCGCAAACUAAUUGACUAGAGUAUAGGAGAGGGUGGCGGAAUUUCCGGUGUAGCGGUGAAAUGCGUAGAGAUGUGGAGGAAUACCGAUGGCGAAGGCAGCCCCCUGGGCCAAUACUGACGCUCAUGCACGAAAGCGUGGGGAGCAAACAGG